rnacentral:misc_RNA from 1 species
UCUCCGUAGGUGAACCUGCGGAGGGAUCAUUACUGAGUGAGGGCCUUCGGGCUCGACCUCCAACCCUUUGUGAACACAACUUGUUGCUUCGGGGGCGACCCUGCCUUUCGGCGCGGCGCCCCCAAAGGUCUCCAAACACUGCAUCUUUGCGUCGGAGUCUUAAUGAAUUUAAACAAAACUUUUAACAACGGAUCUCUUGGUUCUGGCAUCGAUGAAGAACGCAGC